UUGAGUCCCACAUCAGGCUCAGCGGGGAGCCUGCUUCGCCCUCUCCCUUUGCCUGCUGCUCCCCCUGCUUGUGCGCUCACUCUCUCUGUCAAAUAAAUAAAAUCUUUUUAAAAAAUAAGAUUUGAGAAUUGAAAUUAUUCUUUGAUCCAUAGACUGCAGAAUGGAUAUUGUGUUAGCAGCCAUGAAAACAACAUUCAUUAAUCUCGGUGUCCAUCUCCAUCAGAACUCUUGGGUGACCAGGUGCCUUUUCAGUGAGCAGUAAUAUUUUAAAAGGAAUCUUUUUUUUUCCCUGAGCAGUAGGUCUCAACAUUGGGCUUAAAAUAUCCAGUAAACCAUGUUGUAAAACAGAUGGGCUGUCAUCCAGGCUUUGUUGUUCCAUUUAGAGAGCACAGGCAGAGUAGAGUUAGCAUUAUUCUUAAGGGCCCUAGGAAUCUCAGAAUGGUAAAUGAGUAUUAACUUCAACUUCAAGUCACCAGCUGCUGCAUUAACCCCUAGCAAGACAGCCUGUCCUUUGAAGCUUUGAAGGCAGGUAUUGACUUCUCUCUACUAUGAAAGUCCAAGGUGGGUCUUCCAAUAGAAGAGGGUUUCAUCUACAUGGCAAAUCUGUUGUUUAGUGUAGCCACCUUCAUUUAUUAUCUGAGCUACAUCUUCUGGAUAACUUUCUGUAGCUUCUACAUCAGCACUUGCUUCACUUUGUACUUUCAUGUUAUGGAGAUGGCUUCUUUCCCUAAACCUCAUGAACCAACCUCUGCUGUGCCUCAGACUUUUCUGCAGCUUCCUCACCUCUCUCAGCCUUCUUAGAAUAGCAGUUAGGGCCUUGCUCUGGACUAGGCUUUGGCUUCAGUGACUGUUGCAGCUGGUUUGAUCUUCUAUCUAGACCACUAAAAUUUUGUUCAUAUCAGCAAUGAGGCUGAUUCGUAUAUUCACUGGACUAGCACUUUAAUUUCCUUCAAGAACUUUUCUCUGCAUUCACAACUUGGUUAACUGUGGCACAGGAGGCCUAGCUUUUGGCCUGGCUCAGCUGUCAACAUGCCUUCCUCACUGAGCUUAAUCAUUUCUAGCUUUUGAUUUAAAGUGAGAGACAUGCGAUUCUUCCUUUGACUUGAGCACUUAGAAGCCGUUGUAGGGCUCUUAAUUUCCCCGAUUUCAGUAUUAUUGUAUCUCAGGGAAUAGGGAGACCUGAGGAGAGCGAGCGAGAGAGGUAGUCUGUGAAGCAGUCAGAACACAGAUUUAUAAAUUAAGUUUGCCAUCUUGUAUGGGUGCAGUUCAUGGUGUCCUAAAACAAUUACAAUAGUACUAUGAAAGCUCACUGGUCACAGAUCACCAUAACAAAAUAAGAAUAAUGAGAAAGUUUGAAAUAGUGCCAGAAUUACUGAAGUGUGACACAGAGACACAAAGUGAACAAACACAGUUGGAAAGAUAGCACCAAUAGACUUGCUCGACAUAGGGUUGCCACAGACUUUCAGUUUGUAAAAAACGUAAUAUCUGUGAAGCGAGAUAAAACAAGGUAUGAAUACAGUAUUAACUACAGUCGCCAUAUUGUACAUUACAUCCUCAUGACUUAUUUAUUUUAUAACUGGAAGUUUGUACCUUUUGACCCCCUUCAUCCGUUUCACCUACUCCCCACCCCUGGCAGCCACCAAUCUGUUCUCUGUAUCUGUGAGCUUGUUUUGGUUUUAAUUCCACAUAUAAGUGAGAUCAUAUAGUAUGUUCUUCUCUGUCUGACUUCUUUCACUUAGCAUAAUGCCCUCGGGGUCCAUCCAUGUUGACCCAAAUGGCAAGAUUUCAUUCUUUUUUUUAUGUUGCAUAGUAGUCCAUUGUGUGUGUGUGUGUGUGUGUGUGCGUGCAUACAUAACCACAUCCUCUAUACCCAUUUAUCCAUAGAUGGUCACUUAGGUUGUUUCCAUAUCUUCCAUAUCUUGGCUGUUGUAAAUAAUGCUGCAAUGAACAUGAUUCCAGUAAAGGCCUCUUUUUUACCUAAGGGUUAUAAUUAGGAUAAUGACUUAUUUUCUGAUAGGCAGGUAGUAAUUAUAAGUACGAGUUUUAAUUAUAUUAAGUUUCAAAUGACUUUCAAUGAAUGUUGUUAUAGAUGAAAAAGUAAUACUUUGUUAAACUAGUUCCAGCAUAUUCUUUAUAUGCAUUAUCCCUGUGAAAAGUUUUUUUCUGGGCUCUAGCUACAUAGUCUGUUGUUUAACAGAUGUAUCCAGAUCUCACCACUCUCUAACUACAAAGUAAGGUGACAUUUUAAAUGUGUAUAUAUAUAUAUAUACACACACACAUAUAUAUAUAUAUAUAUCUGUGCAAGGCCGUAUCACUAUGAGAUUCUGCUAUGUGUGAUUGUAAAAAGCUAAAAUAACAGUGGCUUAAACACAAAAAGGUAUAUUUCUUUCCACUUACAAGAAGUGUGGAUGUGUUAGAGUUCAGGGCUAUGGGGCAGUUCCACUGUAACCAGGGACAGAGGCUCUUUGUGUUAUUCAGCGUUCUGUCUUAUGUAAGUCUUUAGGCUCUUGUAACCAGUUCCAUGUGUGUGAGUGUGGUACCGUGUGGGACUGUGGUGCCCAAGCAAUUCUCUAGGGAUACCAGCUGGAGUUGUUCUACAGUUAAACUCAGUUCUGACACUGUCUCCCCAGAGAUAGCAUCAGAUCCCACAGGUUAAGGACUAAGUCCUCCAAGACUGUCCCCCUCACCCCCUACCCUCAGAAGGCAGUCACAAGCCCAGAUUGUUACCUGUACUUCUUACUGACCAGCUAUUAAUCAGAGGUUUCCACUGCUUGGGUUGGAUUAAUUUGUUAGAGCAGCUCGCAGAACUGAGAGACACAUUCUACUUACUGGAUUACUGGUUUAGUACAAACUAUAUAACUUAGGAACAACCAAACGGAAAAGAUUCAUAGGGCAAGUUAUGUGGGAAGGGAUGCAGUUUCUAUGCUCUCUUUUGGUGCUCCAUUCUUACUAUAGUUCCAGGUGUUCACCAAUCCGGAAGCUCUCCAGACUCUAUCCUUUUGGGUUUUUAGGUAGACUUUUUUACGUAGGUAUGGCUGAUUAAAUCAUUGGCCAUUGGUGAUUGAUUCAACUUUGAGCCCCUCUCCUCUCAAAGGAGGUGAGGGAGUGAGACUGAACAUUCCAACCCUCUAAUCACAUGGUUGGUUCCUCUGGUGACCAGCCCCCAUCCUUUGAAGUGGGGCAUUGCAAAAGUCACCUCAUUAACAUAACAAAAGAUGCCUUUAUCUUUCUCAUCUCUUAAGAAAUUCCAAGGGUUUUAAGAGCUCUGUGCCAGAAAGACGACAGAGACCAAAGACAUUUUUCUUAUUAUUGUUAAAACGAAAUUCAACCGAGUAAAUUUGAAGAUAUAGUUGGUUUUAUUAAGCAUUCAUGAAUCAGGCAGCAUCCCAGGAGUUGUACGAAAUGGAAGGUUUUAUAGGAAGGAGGGUUUGGGCAAGAAGUUAUUAAGAAAAGAAAGAACUGUUUGAGGCAUAGUCAUCUUCCCUUAGGGGAGAGGGCAAAGGAUUUUAUUAGGUAAGUGGAUUACCUCAUCUUCCUUUGGGGUAUGGAGAGGACCCAAGUGACAGAUUAUCUGUUUUCUGAUGAGGACAUUUGUGACUGACAGGUUAAAAGUACAUUUCUGGGGGAAAAAUUGGAACUUCAAUUAAGUUAGGUAUUAAGCCCCAGUUUGGUGACUUGGUCUGGUAUAAGUGACUCUAUCUUCGGCCUAUGGUUUUCUUUUUAGCGUUACAAAUCACAAUAUUAUAGUAAGUGACUUGAUCCAAGAGAUCUUCAGGAGCUCAAGACAUAUAGGUGGCAGUAAAGAAAGAGGUAAAAAUCAAAGAGCUGUACCACCAGUAAUUUGCAGUAUCCUGUUACGAAAAUUCAGUCACAUGAUGGAACCUAGCUGCACAAGGAGAGUAGAAAAAGUCUUUUAACCGCAUAUUGCUGCCCUGAAUAAAUUAGUAUUCUGUUAUAAGGAAUAGGGGGAGAGUAGAUAUAGAUAGGGUGGGCAUCUAGCAGUUUCUUCCACAAUAUGUGAUCUUUGUUUUUCCUGAAUGUAUUAGGGUUCUCCAGAGAUGAAGAGAUUAUAAGGAUUUGGCUCACACAAUUAGGGAGGGAGGCUGGCAAGUUGGCAGAAUAAGUGUUCAAAGGCCAUCAAGAGGGAAGAGCUUAAUGUUUCAGUUUAAAGGCCAGCAGGCUGAAUUCCCUCUUAUUUGAGGGAGGGUCGGCCUUUUGUUUAUUCAGGCCUUCAAAUGAUUGGAUGAGGCCCACCCACAACAUGGAGGACAAUCUGCUUUACUCAGUCUAUUGAUAUACGUGUUAAUCUUAUUCAAAACCACUUACAGAAACACCCAGAAUGUUGGAGCAAAUAUCUGGGUACCCUGUGGCCCACUUAACUUGAUACAUAUAAGAUUAACCAUCAUUAUAGUCAUCUUCAACUGAAUAUAAAACUAAAAUAUUUAUAUUGUAAAAACACCAAACAAUUAUAGACAUUUAUUAUGUAGAAAUCAAAAUUUCCUUAUAUUCCUACCUCCCAGAGAUACCUGUUAAUAACAGCUUAGUGUAUUUUUCUCCACUUACUUGUAGUAUAUAUACUAGUAUACAUACUAAUGUAUAUAUCUUACAAAAACAGGAUUACAUUACUUAAUAUAUAUAUAUACACACACACACAUAUAUACAUAUAUAACAUGUAGUACUGUGCUUUAAUUUUUACGUUUUUAUUCUAGACCUUAUUCCAUGUCAUUAAAUGUGGACCUACUUCUUCUGAACAUUAUUUCACUAUGGAUGUAUUAUCCAUUCAUUCAUAUUUUGAUUUAUUUAAUGAAUAUUUUUCAUACCUACUAUGUGCCAAGCAACAUUUAUAUGUCGGAUCCUCUGUUGGUAGAAAUUUAGGUCAUUUUGUUUGUUUUUAUUCUUUUGUUUUUUAUUAUAACAAUGUUGAGGUAAACAUCUUUAUCUUCAGACAUUUUUGCAAGAGUUUAUUCUGUAAAGCAUAUUUCUAGAAUUGCUCAAUAAGAAGAUACCCAUAUUUUAGGUUUUAAAAGGUGCUGCUAGCCAAGAGUUUGUCAACCUCAGCCCUGUUGACAUUUUGGGCAGAUAAUUUAUCAUUCCUGGGCAGGGUGGUGUGAGGUCAGGGGAGCUGUUCUGUGCAUUGUAGGAUGUUUAGCAACAUCGUUACCCUGGAUACCAACAACACCGUCCCACCCCCAAGUUGUGACAAUCAGAAAUGUCUUCAUACAUUGCCAGAUGUCAGGACGCCUGGGUGGCUCAGUCGGUUAAGCAUCUGCCUUCGGCUCAAUUCAUGAUCCCAGGGUCCUGGGAUCAAGUCCGCUGUCAGGUUCUUUGCUCAGCAGGGAGCCUGCUUCUCCCUCUGCCUGUCACUCCCCCUGCUUGUGCUCUCUCUCUCUCUCUCUCUCUGACAAAUAAAUAAAUAAAAUCUUUUAAAAAACAAAACAUUGCCAAAUGUCUCCUGGUGGGGAGACUGUCCCAGGUUGAGAACCAGUACACUAGCCCUUCUCUCUUUUCCUGUUCCCGUGCCAUAUAGACAGCUGGGCUUGGGAUGUCAGAGCCCAAGUUGAGUGAAGAGAUGUCCACAUGAGAGGCAGCCUAGCAUGGGAUAUUGGAGGCCAACUGCAGUGAGGAAGGCAGUCACAAGGGAUCAUGGCUUAUUGUGGGAUGUCAGAGCACAGGCUGGAUUAGGAGGGUUUCCAGCCAUGAGGGCAGCCUGGCAUGGGGUGUUCUGAGCCUCAGGCAGGGUGAAAGUAUGUCCAUAUUAGAGAGGCAGGAAUAGUCCUCUCUAGUCCAAAACAGAGAGUGCUUCAUUUAUAUGGCUAAAGGCCUAUUUAUGAUGGUUUCCUUACAUUAGAGCUUGCUCCCUAUGGAGAUCCAUUACUGAUUUGAUGAUUUAAUAUCUUUUAAAUCACAUAAUUAGGGAUUUUUGGCUGAUGUCUCUAUUCUAUUUGGAAUUAUUUUAAUAGUAGGAGAAGCUAGUCCAAGAACAUAGCUCACAGCUACGUAAGGCUCACUUGCUAUCACCUGACAAGUACUUGAACCAUGCAAAUAAUCCCAUCUUUGUGGCUGACACUCAGUAACAUAAUCCUGAGCCAAAGAAACUAAAUAGAAGAGUACAUACUACAUGAUUCUAUUAUAUAAGCUACUAAAACGCAAAAAUAAUCUGUGGUGCUAGAGGUAAGAAUUGUUUACCCUUGGUAAGGGUAGCACUGGAAAGGAGAUGCAUGAGGGGGCUUCUGAAAUGUUGAUGUUUUCUUUCUUGAUCUGGGUGGUUAACUUGUAAAAAGCCAUUGAGCUGUAUGUGUAAGAUUAGCACACCUUUCUAUGUGUGUGUCAUUCUUCCAACAGAAUGUCCACCCCCCAAAAAAUAACCUGUUCUUUUACUCUUGGAAAAUAGUCAGACUCUAUUCUCUGAAUCACAUAAUUAUCAGAAAAUAGAAUGUUAAUGGCUGACAGACCACAGCAUAGACCAACUAAAUAGGUUGGCACGUACCACUCAAACUGAGGAAGGCCCAAUAAAAGUGCUCAGUCUACCAAAUUUGCCAGGUGAUAUGAUAAGCUGAAUGAAAUAUGUCUUGUUCAGCAACAUUCAGAAUACUUUUAUUGAAAUUCUACUUUAUCAUAGGUGCUCUUAUUUUUAGGUUUUGGAGGCACCUGAGGACACAGUACCUACUUCCAUGUACUUCCUACAUGGAAGUGAGGAAGACUAAGCAGUUAGAAUACAAUAACAUAAACACUGAUAAAUGUGCAGAGUUAAUUCACUGAAAUCACAGAGAAGGGGAGGUCACCAAAGGAUUCCUGAAGGAGAGAAGGAUGAAAGUUAGCUAAAUGAAGAAAAUGGGGAAGAGCAUCCAGGUAGGAGGAACAGCACAUGCAGGGUACAGAAUACAACUCAGCAUCACACAUUCAAGGAACUGUCCUUGUGACAUGGACAGCACAGGGACCAUCAGCAUUAUCUUAUGUAUCAUCAAGAGCCUACCCCAGAGCCUGAUUCAUGAUAGACAUUCAGAUAUUAUUUAGGUGAAUAAAUACCUAACAUAGCAUCUGUUAUGUGAAGAGGUCAUCAAAGAAAGAUCAUGAGCCUAUAAUUAAUUCUAAGAAGCUCAGAGUUCAUUUAGUAGGCAGUGAGGAGCCAUUAAAGAACUUAAGUAUUAGAAUAACAUGAUUUGUGGUAUUUUAGAAAGGUUCUCUGGGAACUCUGUAAAACAAGGAUUGAAUCUUUCUCUAGAAAGAGAGUAAGUUAGGGGAAUUUGUGUAUGUGUAUACAUGAAUGUGUGUUCUUACACAUGCGUGUGAGUAGGCAUUUGGUGAGAAUUGAAGCAAUGGAUACUACAUAUAGAUAGGAAGUUCCUAAAAUAAAAUAGAAAUGUUAAAGAUUGUGAACUUAGAGUGUAGGCCCAGUGAAUAUGGGAUGAAUUUGAAGGUGAUUUAGGAGAUACAAUAAAGAGGGAUUAAUGUCGGGUUAUAAGAAGCAUUUGAGGAAGAGGCAUCUUGGAUGACCCCCAGAGUUCUGUCUUGGGUGACUGGUUGAAUACUGAUAGCACACCAUUUGCUAUGAUAGGGAACACAGGUUGAGUAACAGGUUUAUGUUCCAUUUUGUUUUCCAGGAAUCUAGUGUGUUCCAUGGCUACUUACGAUUCUGGUAAUUGUGAUCUGUCUACUAGGAGGUGUUUAGUUGGCAGUUGAAUAUCUGGACAAGACCGAGGCCUGAACCAGAAAGAUGAUAUGGUAUUUGAUAGCAUACUAGUAGAAUUUAAAGGUUGGGUAAAACUCCCAAAACAUCUGUCAGUAGAAUACAUGUUUAGAUUUAUUAGGCUAAAGAGAGGAAAAGAGAAGUGCAGAUGUUUGCUAUAAACUUGUUUUACAGUUUUUCACUCUGCUUUUUUACUUCUCUGGUUUUUGUGGGGAGGCAUGGUUGGCUCUGGUUUGUAAGUCUCAUGAUAGACUCUCAAUAUAAAAUCUCCCAAAUUCCUUGUUUUCAAAUUACGAACACAACUAAACAGCCUAUAUUUCUUGGGGAGAAGGCUAAAAAGGGAUUUUUUCUUUCUUGAGAAAGUUGUGUUGUAUAGUAAAAAGAGCUUAGAUGAACAUUGGAGUCAAAGUUUGGUAGGAAUCCUGCUUCUCAUAUUAUUUAGCUAUGUGCCUUUGGGCAAGUUAUUUAGUUUCACUAAGACGUAGCUUAUUUAUUUGUAAAACUGCAGUAAUUAUAGCUAUCUUUUAAGAUUAUUAUAAAAAUUAAAUGAGAUGAGCUUUUGGAUCUGGAAGAUAAUGGCAACUGUCCAAAUGUAAAUCUCUCCACACAUUCUCCCCAAAAGCCGUAAGACCAAACAGGACCACACAUGUACACACACACACACACGGCCCAUAUAUAAAUCAUACCUUCAGCAUUACUACAACAUAAAUAAUACCAUGAAUUUUAAAUUGCUUUUAUGUAAAGAAACAACAAAUUACAACAAUUCCUGUUGCUGCUACAAACCCCUGAGUCUGGAAAGUGGGGCAAAGAGAGGUUCAAGAGACAGUGAAGACAGGAAAGGAGAUAGGAGGUUUACAAUGAAGCACAAGCAAAAUGACCCUCAGAAAGAAAACAUCCCGCACACAACUGGGAAAAUACAGACACAGGCCUGAGACUUAGGAAUUCAUAGCACUAGCUAUAGGGAAGGUGUGUGAAAGAGAGGGACCACUAGCAGCAUCAGAGAUAGAGAAAGGAUGGUGCCCCUCAGAGCCAUUGCAGGGAGAGGAAAAAAGAAAGUAAGGAGAAAAUAAGUGUCUGGAGAAAUCAAAGAGAAACAAGGCACACAAGUUCAAUACCCACCCACCCACCACCACCCCUACCACCACAACAUCAUCUGUUAAAACAGCUGCUUUUACUAAUCUGCAGAAGCAGACAGCCUUCGACUAAGAACUCUAUCCAUAAAGUGCUCAGAAAUAGAAAAAAAUUAGAUGCUAUAAAAAGCUGCUUUAAGAGGAAUACACAAAAUAUGAACCAAUGUAUUUCCACCAAUAAAAAUUCUUUCACAGAAAGGAAACACAAAACAGAGGGCAACUCUUAUUUUUUUAAUAACAGUUUAAUAUAUAGUCUUAUAUUAGUUUCUGGUGCACAAUAUAAUGAUUCAACAAUUCUGUACGUUACCCAGUGCUCAUCACACUAAGUGUACUCUUUUUUUUUUUUUUUUUAAGAUUUAUUUGUCAGAGAGAGAGAGAGCACAAGCAGGGGAAGCGGCAGGCAGAGGGAGAAGCAGGCUCCCCACGGAGCAAGGAGCCCCAUGUGGAACUCGAUCCCAGGACCUCGGGAUCAUGACCUGAGCCGAAGGCAGUCACUUAACCAAUUGAGCCACCCAGGUAAAUCGGCUACAUCCCCUGCUCCUAACGGCAAUGGCCUUAAGAUGAAGAUUCCUAUAGUGCCCAGCAGUGCAGUGUCCCCCCUGUUCACCAGAACUUGGCACUCCAGGUGUCUCCUAUGUGUGUUGCAUGUACCCUACUAUUGUGGUGAGCCACAUUGCCUUCAGUCCAGUCGUCUGCAGUGACUCCUUGCCUGUUGCAGGCCAUGGUCCUUGUGUCAUUAAUGGGCCAGUCUGGGGCUGCCUUGGGCUUGAGUGGAGUCAGAGCAGGUGCUUGUCAGAGAUAUAAUAUCACUGAACUGCAGGGUGCUUUCUCUUUGUUGUCCACUGAGAGAAGCUUUUGUUGGUAGGUGGGACCUGCAGUCAGACCACAUGUCUGGCCUCUGCCUACUGCUGGGGCUGCAGUCAGACUGGGGUGUGUGAUUGCCUUCCCCUCUCCCCAAGGCAGGAGUCACUUUGGAGCAGUGCUGGCCUCUUUUGGGGCUACUUGCACACUGCCACGCUUGUUGCACUGCUUUGGGUGGACUCCUGCUGAGGGCUUGUUGGAGGAGACAGGUCCACAGGAAAGAGCUCUGUUAACAAGGUAGGUGGAGAGAGUUCCCAGUGGUUCUCCCAGGUGUCUGUGUAUCUCUGCUGGGGGUGGGGGGAGGGAAAUGGCACCUUCCAGCUCUUUUGUUCUUGGAGAAGUCUCCUAAAAAUCCCUGUCUCUCCAGCAUACAUUCUGAGAUUCAUAAAUGAAUCUUCCCCAGGUGUUUUUCAGACUGCUCUUUCUAAUCUAUAUCUCAGUGGGGCUCUUUCUUACACUGUCUCUUUUCAGUCAGGGACUCACUUUCUU